rnacentral:rRNA from 1 species
UACGUAGGGGGCUAGCGUUGUCCGGAAUCAUUGGGCGUAAAGCGCGGGCAGGCGGUCUUGCCAGUCUGAUGUGAAAUCUCCUCGCUCAACGGGGAGCAGCCAUUGGAAACUACAAGACUGGAGUCUGGCAGAGGUAGGCGGAAUUCCGGGUGGAGUGGUGAAAUGCGUAGAGAUCCGGAGGAACACCAGAGGCGAAGGCGGCCUACUGGGCCAGUACUGACGCUGAGCCGCGAAAGCCAGGGGAGCGAACGGG